UUUCCGUAGGUGAACCUGCGGAAGGAUCAUUAAAAAAUGUGGUACCAUUAUUGGUACUAAUUAAUCAUCCUACCCUUUGUGAAUUUGUUUGUAUGAAUUUUUUUAAAUGGGUCUUUCCCUAAGUUGGAUUGUAGUAAAAUACAAAAAGACUUAGGGGAAUGACUUUUUUAAAAGACUUUUUUUUUAAUUAAAACUUUUUGUAUUCACUUGUCUAAAAUUUAUUUUUAUAAUAUAAAAACAACUUUUGACAAUGGAUCUCUUGGUUCUCGCAACGAUGAAGAACGCAGCAAAAUGCGAUAAGUAGUGUGAAUUGCAGAAUACGUGAAUCAUCGAAUCUUCGAACGCAUAUUGCACUUUUUUAGUUUACUAAAAAAGUAUGUCUGUUUGAGUAUCAGUAAAAUAUUCUCACAAAAACAAUUUGUUUUUUGUGGUUAUGAGUGUUUUACAACGAUAAACAAGUUGUUUCACUUUAAAUUCUUUUUAAUUGAAUUUUACCAAUUCAUAAAUUAAAAUUGGAUAAAAUUUUCCUUUAACGAGGAAUAACCUAAACAAUUUUAAAUUUUAUGGAUUAAUAAACAUUCAUCAAAGGAAUCUAUACAACAAAUAACUUGAUCUCAAACCAGAUAAGAGUACCCGCUGAACUUAAGCAUAUCAAUAAGCGGAGGAAAAGAAACUAACAAGGAUUCCCUUAGUAACGGCGAGUGAAGCGGGAAGAGCUCAAAUUUGAAAUCUUCAAGGUUUGACCUUGACGAAUUGUAGUUUAUAGAAGUGUUUUCUGUUGGAGUUUUGGUAAAAGUUCUUUGGAAUAGGACAUCAUAGAGGGUGAGAAUCCCGUAUUUAACCAUGACUUUCCAGCUGUGUGAUACACUUUCAAAGAGUCGGAUUGUUUGGGAAUGCAGUCCAAAAUGGGUGGUAAAUUUCAUCUAAAGCUAAAUAUUGGCGAGAGACCGAUAGCGAACAAGUACCGUGAGGGAAGAUGAAAAGAACUUUGAAAAGAGAGUUAAACAGUACGUGAAAUUGUCAAAAGGGAAGCGUUUGACACCAGUGUUGUUUUCUCGAAAAUCAAUUUAAUGAGUUCUUGUUUUUAAGUUAUUGUGACUUUAUCAGCGCAUUUCUUAUUUUACUUGACUCAUUGAAUGCACUUUUCGUUUAACAAGUCAACAUCAAUUUCUUUGGUGGUAAAAAGUUUAAAGAAAGGUGGCUUGGACUUCGGUUCAAGUGUUUAUAGCCUUUUUUCUAUGCCAUCGGAGAGAUUGAGGUCUGCAGCGUAGAUCCUUCGGGGUUAGAUACCUUUGUGCUAAGUUAUAGUUCUUUAUAGACGACUUGUUGACUAUAAUUAACCCUGUAAUUUACUCGCUUAGGCUAUUUUACCUACGCUUAGGAUGUUG
rnacentral:misc_RNA from 1 species